ACAUUCCGAUGAAAUAAUGAAAUUUCUUACUGUUUUUUCAAUUGUGAUGUCUAAUAUGUUAUAGUAAGGUCUUAAAUUUGAAGGAGUGGGUAUUUUAAGAUUAUGGGUGUUGACCUGUAGGUAAUAUAUCCUUACAUAUUUGCCACACUAGCAUGAGCUUUGCUUUGACAAAUAUGACGAUGAUUUGACUCAGAAAUUGUUUGAAUUUUAUUUUGUGUCAACAUUAAUUAGAGAAUUGUGUCAAGAUGCGAAGCUACUGCCUUGCAACGUCAAUUUCAAGCUAUGAAGUUACUGCCUUCCAAUGCUAAUGAUUUCAUUGUUAUUAAUCAUUGAUUAUGUCUAUCAAGAAAAAAACUUUAACCAUGAGAAUCUCUUGGUUGAGAAUUUUUAUUUUUAAAAUUUUUCUUUGUGCUGUUAUAUUGCACUGCUCAAAUGCUUUAAUCUUGUGAUGAUUUGAUUAUGAAUCAGGAAAUAUAUGAUGCCCAUUGAGUCCAUACCUUUCCAUGAAAUCAUCUGCUUUAAGAACGUCGACAAACUUCAAGCAGGGGAACUAAAGUUUGUUGGAAGCCUUCAACCUGCUUCGCAGUGCUGUAAAGAGUACAUGAUUGGUCUUGCAUGUGUUGUAUAGCAUGCAGUUGAUCUCCCCCCCCCUUCGGCGCCCAUCUUUUUAUGCUAGACAAAUUCAUCCAUCCAAUUUAAAUAUCUUGAUUUUUUUUUUUUUAAAAUUUUAUCUUAAGAACUAUUGAUGAUCCGUUACUAAACCUAAAAUUGAUUGGACUUCACAAUUUGGUAGGGUUGCUGAUUUCGUGGUGGCAAAUUCCGAUCCUUUCAUACCUAUAAGUCAAAAGACUCGUACGUCUUGUCAUUUCUGGAAGUGGCUAAGGUAUCUUCUUGUCCUUUGCUUAUUUGUUCUGUAUAGAUGGAGUUUUCAUAUUUUACUUCAUAUUUUGCUACGAGCACUUGCUGUCGUGAAUAAGGAUAAAUUUACUGCAACACUAUGAAUAGAGCAAGAAGCAAAAAAGUUACUCUUAAUGUCAAAACAGAACUCAUGGAGUAAUGAUGUCUUCUAGUGACAAACUUGAUAUGAUUUGCAAAUUGAUUUUGUUUUUCUUUCUUUCUUUCUUGUAAAUAAUGCAAUAUAGAUGGUACUUGCUAUUUAUAGAUGGUGCUUGCUAUUUUAUUAAUCUUUAAUAAAAUCUUUGCUUUGUAAUCUUU